UACGUAGGGUGCGAGCGUUAAUCGGAAUUACUGGGCGUAAAGCGUGCGCAGGCGGUUUUGUAAGCCAGAUGUGAAAUCCCCGGGCUCAACCUGGGAAUGGCAUUUGGGACUGCAAGGCUGGAGUACGGCAGAGGAGACUGGAAUUCCUGGUGUAGCAGUGAAAUGCGUAGAGAUCCGGAAGAACACCGGUGGCGAAGGCGGCCUGCUGGGCUAUGGCUGACACUGAGGCGCGACAGCGUGGGGAGC
rnacentral:rRNA from 1 species